rnacentral:rRNA from 1 species
UACGUAGGGGGCGAGCGUUGUCCGGAAUUAUUGGGCGUAAAGAGCGUGUAGGCGGUUCGGUAAGUCUGCCGUGAAAACCUGGGGCUCAACCCCAGGCGUGCGGUGGAUACUGCCGGGCUAGAGGGUGGUAGAGGCGAGUGGAAUUCCCGGUGUAGCGGUGAAAUGCGCAGAUAUCGGGAGGAACACCAGUAGCGAAGGCGGCUUUCUGGCCUGUUCUUGACGCUGAGGCGCGAAAGCUAGGGGAGCGAACGGG